UUUUGUAGAGAUGAGAUCUUGCUCUGUCACCCAGACUGGAGUGCAGUGGCACGAUCAUAGCUCACUGCACCUUCAAACUCCUGGACUCAAGUCAUCCUCUACCUCUGCCUCCCUGAGUAACUGGAACUACAGGUCAACACAGAUUCUCGGAAUUAAACACUUCCAUGUCCCAGAGGAUCAAAGUCACUUGCAAAAAUACCUCAAAAUGUGUUUGUCAAGAAAUUACACUUUCUCUUGAUUUUGUGGACCACUUUCUAAUUUCCAACCCAGACAAAAGCCUCCUAGUGAAGCUGGUCUUUCCUAGCACAUCCCCCUACCCCCCAGCCACUGUCCCAUCCCUGGAUGGCCUGUCCACAGAGAGCACUGUCUGUGUGGCCACUGGGGGAGGCAGCUGCAUCCCAGAGAUGAUGGUGUCCAGGGCAUGACAAGGAAGCUCUUUGUGUGGCCUGGAGACGUCCCGGGAGCUGGCUGGCGCCCACCUUCUCUCACUUCCUUACCACCUUCUUUCUUGUGUUGCUGCUUUCUCCUUCCCAGCUCUAAACUCCCCAUGGUGCUGGAGCAGCCAGAGAAGAAG
rnacentral:lncRNA from 1 species